rnacentral:rRNA from 1 species
UACGGGGGGAGCAAGCGUUGUUCGGAUUUACUGGGCGUAAAGGGCGCGUAGGCGGUCAGCACAAGUCAGUUGUGAAAUCUCCGGGCUUAACUCGGAAAGGUCAACUGAUACUGUGCGACUAGAGUGCAGAAAGGGCAACCGGAAUUCUUGGUGUAGCGGUGAAAUGCGUAGAUAUCAAGAGGAACACCUGAGGCGAAGGCGGGUUGCUAGGCUGACACUGACGCUGAGGCGCGAAAGCGUGGGGAGCAAACAGG